AUUCAUCUUCAGUUUCAGCUUUAUCCUGCUCAGGAUUGCAUUGGAUCCAAAACCUAUCCUGGGAAAGGAUACUAGUCCAUUGCAAGACAGGCAGUAAAGGGAGGGAACAGCAUGUCCAGCAUGAGGAAGAGAUGGAAAAAGAGAGAGGACCUCCAGAGAAGGCUUUCUAGAGGCCCCACAUCUGACCCUGAAAAACAUCUGAGUGUGUCUUCAGAUACUACAAAUGAACUGCUGCAAUCAACUGAGCCUGGAUGCAUUGGAGAAAAUGGUAUUUAUGUGUGUGCAUGUGUAAGAGAGAAACUUGGAAGACAUAUUUGUAUACGUAUAUGUAUACUGUUCCUACUUAUUCAGGUGACAUUGGGCAUACCUAACCACCUGUGUUUUCUUUCCCUCCCCCCCACCCCAAAUCUGUCCCUCUGAGUUACAUGGAGUUAACAGGAAAUCUUUUGGUGGAGAGGGUGGAGACCUCGACUGGCUAUCGUAGCCUGCAGGGAAUCGGCCGUCAGACAUUCUGUCGCAUGUCCCAGACCCGGUGAAAUGUAACUGAAUUGUCUUGGCCAGCCCUAAGGGUCCCAUCUCAUCAUUGCUGAGGAGUCUGCUCCCAUCACCCAAUCAAGCAUCUAGCCAGAGCAGGUCAUGAUAUAUUUUAGCAUAUUAACAUGCUAUUGUUGUGUGCUAUGCCUGAUGUAAAGACUCUCGUCUCUGCGAGCCUACCACACAGAUUUAAUACUUGUCAUUUUUAGGGCAUACCUAACAACGUGUUUUCUUACCCCCCCCCCCCCCCCAAUCUGUCCCUCUGAGUUACAUGUUGAUCCUGGGAUUGAGAUGCUGGCCUCUUCUGCCCCUCAGACCUGCUUGAUCCAUCCUGGUGCCCUGUGUCUGGUCGGAGUUUUAUCGCACCGCUCCUGUGAAGGACGGCCCCAUGAGGACAGUUGAGGGUUAUACCUGCUAAAACUGUUAAUAUUAUAGUCAGGCUGUCUGUUGUUGCCCAAAUGAGGAUGGGUUCCCUUUUGAGUCUGGUUCCUCUCGAGGUUUCUUCCUCAUGUCGUCUGAGGGAGUUUUUCCUUGCCACCGUCGCCACAGGCUUGCUCAUUGGGGAUAGAUUAGGGAUAAAAUUAGCUCAUGUUUUAAGUCGUUCAAAUUCUGUAAAGCUGCUUUGCGACAAUGUUUAUUGUUAAAAGCGCUAUACAAAUAAAUUUGAUUUGAUUUGAUAUUUAUAUGAUCAUAGUCUUGUGAGAUGGGAUGUCAUCUGGGAUUUUGAAUGCUGUAAUAUAAUAAUGUAGCUUAGAAUUAGUCUUUGUGGUCCUAAAGGAGAGAUAUGUGAGUGAGAAAUGAUAUAUUUUUAUUAAACUGAUGAUAAAUUUUACUUGUGAUAUUUAAUAGUCAAUUGACAUAUGCCUCAGUUUCCUGAGACAUUAUGGGUGUUGAUAAUUAAUAAUAAUGAGACAGAAACUGAAGUGAACUACAUAAAUUUAAAAAGAGCAGUGCAAAAAUCAGUAAUAAAGAUGUCAUAACCUU